rnacentral:rRNA from 1 species
GUGUCAGCCGCCGCGGUAAUACGGAGGGUGCGAGCGUUAAUCGGAAUUACUGGGCGUAAAGCGCGCGUAGGUGGCUUGUCACGCCGGUUGUGAAUGCCCCGGGCUCAACCUGGGAACUGCAUCCGGAACCGCCAGGCUAGAGUGCAGGAGAGGAAGGUAGAAUUCCCGGUGUAGCGGUGAAAUGCGUAGAGAUCGGGAGGAAUACCAGUGGCGAAGGCGGCCUUCUGGCCUGACACUGACACUGAGGUGCGAAAGCGUGGGUAGCAAACAGGAUUAGAAACCCCCGUAGUCC